rnacentral:sRNA from 1 species
UCUGGGGGUGGUGGCACACACCUGUAAUCCCAGUGGCUUGGGAGGCUGAGGCAGGAGGAUUGCAAGUUCAAAGCCAGCCUCAGCACUCAGUGAGAUCCUGUCUCUA